rnacentral:rRNA from 13 species
GAGUGGCGAACGGGUGAGUAACACGUGAGUAACCUGCCCUUAACUCUGGGAUAAGCCUGGGAAACUGGGUCUAAUACCGGAUAGGAGCCAUUUUUAGUGUGAUGGUUGGAAAGUUUUUUCGGUGUAGGAUGAGCUCGCGGCCUAUCAGCUUGUUGGUGGGGUAAUGGCCUACCAAGGCGUCGACGGGUAGCCGGCCUGAGAGGGUGUACGGCCACAUUGGGACUGAGAUACGGCCCAGACU